UACGAAGGGGGGCUAGCGUUGUUCGGAAUUACUGGGCGUAAAGCGCGCGCAGGCGGCUAUCCAAGUCAGUGGUGAAAGCCCGGAGCUCAACUCCGGAACUGCCAUUGAAACUGUUUUAGCUUGAGGACGAGAGAGGUGAGUGGAAUUCCCAGUGUAGAGGUGAAAUUCGUAGAUAUUGGGAAGAACACCGGAGGCGAAGGCGGCUCACUGGGGGGUCUUCUGACGCUGAGGAACGAAAGCCAGGGGGAGCGAACGGGG
rnacentral:rRNA from 1 species